GAUGAACGCUGGCGGCGUGCCUAAUACAUGCAAGUAGAACGCUGAAGGAGGAGCUUGCUCUUCUGGAUGAGUUGCGAACGGGUGAGUAACGCGUAGGUAACCUGCCUGGUAGCGGGGGAUAACUAUUGGAAACGAUAGCUAAUACCGCAUGACAACAGUUAUUGCAUGAUAACUGUUUAAAAGGGGCAACUGCUCCACUACCAGAUGGACCUGCGUUGUAUUAGCUAGUUGGUGAGGUAACGGCUCACCAAGGCGACGAUACAUAGCCGACCUGAGAGGGUGAUCGGCCACGCUGGGACUGAGACACGGCCCAGACACCUACGGGAGGCAGCAGUAGGGAAUCUUCGGCAAUGGACGGAAGUCUGGCCGAGCAACGACGCGUGAGUGAAGAAGGUUUUCGGGUCGUAAAGCUCCGUUGUAAGAGAAGAAAGAGUGUGAGAGUGGGAAGUUCACACUGUGACGGUAUCUUACCAGAAAGGGACGGCUAACUACGUG
rnacentral:rRNA from 1 species